AGCUUGCUGGGGGAUUAGUGGCGAACGGGUGAGUAACACGUGAGUAACCUGCCCUUAACUCUGGGAUAAGCCUGGGAAACUGGGUCUAAUACCGGAUAUGACUCCUCAUCGCAUGGUGGGGGGUGGAAAGCUUUAUUGUGGUUUUGGAUGGACUCGCGGCCUAUCAGCUUGUUGGUGAGGUAAUGGCUCACCAAGGCGACGACGGGUAGCCGGCCUGAGAGGGUGACCGGCCACACUGGGACUGAGACACGGCCCAGACUCCUACGGGAGGCAGCAGUGGGGAAUAUUGCACAAUGGGCGAAAGCCUGAUGCAGCGACGCCGCGUGAGGGAUGACGGCCUUCGGGUUGUAAACCUCUUUCAGUAGGGAAGAAGCGAAAGUGACGGUACCUGCAGAAGAAGCGCCGGCUAACUACGUGCCAGCAGCCGCGGUAAUACGUAGGGCGCAAGCGUUAUCCGGAAUUAUUGGGCGUAAAGAGCUCGUAGGCGGUUUGUCGCGUCUGCCGUGAAAGUCCGGGGCUCAACUCCGGAUCUGCGGUGGGUACGGGCAGACUAGAGUGAUGUAGGGGAGACUGGAAUUCCUGGUGUAGCGGUGAAAUGCGCAGAUAUCAGGAGGAACACCGAUGGCGAAGGCAGGUCUCUGGGCAUUAACUGACGCUGAGGAGCGAAAGCAUGGGGAGCGAACAGGAUUAGAUACCCUGGUAGUCCAUGCCGUAAACGUUGGGCACUAGGUGUGGGGGACAUUCCACGUUUUCCGCGCCGUAGCUAACGCAUUAAGUGCCCCGCCUGGGGAGUACGGCCGCAAGGCUAAAACUCAAAGGAAUUGACGGGGGCCCGCACAAGCGGCGGAGCAUGCGGAUUAAUUCGAUGCAACGCGAAGAACCUUACCAAGGCUUGACAUGAACCGGAAAUACCUGGAAACAGGUGCCCCGCUUGCGGUCGGUUUACAGGUGGUGCAUGGUUGUCGUCAGCUCGUGUCGUGAGAUGUUGGGUUAAGUCCCGCAACGAGCGCAACCCUCGUUCUAUGUUGCCAGCGCGUUAUGGCGGGGACUCAUAGGAGACUGCCGGGGUCAACUCGGAGGAAGGUGGGGACGACGUCAAAUCAUCAUGCCCCUUAUGUCUUGGGCUUCACGCAUGCUACAAUGGCCGGUACAAAGGGUUGCGAUACUGUGAGGUGGAGCUAAUCCCAAAAAGCCGGUCUCAGUUCGGAUUGGGGUCUGCAACUCGACCCCAUGAAGUCGGAGUCGCUAGUAAUCGCAGAUCAGCAACGCUGCGGUGAAUACGUUCCCGGGCCUUGUACACACCGCCCGUCAAGUCACGAAAGUUGGUAACACCCGAAGCCGGUGGCCUAACCCCUUGUGGGAGGGA
rnacentral:rRNA from 1 species